UGAGUGUUUUAUGUCUGCUGGAUCUGACAAAUGCACCCACCUACAACACAGCCUGUGCCUCGGGAUUAGGAAAAUUUUAUUUCCUCCUCUACAAGAAAAGCAGGUGUCUGCUGCUCCCAGUCUGCUGCUGCUUCUCCACCGAGCUGGCUACAGUUUCUGCAAUGUGGGAGAGAGGAAUAAAAAAGAUAAGAGUAAUUAAAAUUGUCAGCAUUAACAUAAGAAGCCAAAUGUCCCUAGAGGACAGUGCCAGCUCUUCCUUUCUGCUUCUGCUUUAAUCUGAGAGGAAGCUGAGUGCUGUGGAAUGGCCAGGAUCACUCCUGGAGCUGGAAGAAAGAGCUCAGUGAUGGGUCUGCCACUUUUUCAGCCUUCUGCAAGGCUGAGGCUCAGUCACCACUUAGCUAAAAUGCACUGAAGAAAAAAUGCAAUCCUCCAUGAGUCAACACUGAGCUGGUGGUGAUAGAAUAUCCUGGAGCCAAAUUCACCUCAUGUUUUUGCUGAGAACAAGAACUGAAGCCCUGCAUUCUGGCCAGAUUUCAUCUCUGUAAGAAUUUACAUGUUU